rnacentral:rRNA from 1 species
GACGAGGGCGCGAGCGUUGUCCGGAUUUACUGGGCGUAAAGGGCGCGUAGGCGGUCGUGACAAGUCACUUGUGAAAUCUCCGGGCUUAACUCGGAACGGUCAAGUGAUACUGUCGGACUAGAGUACAGAAGGGGCAACUGGAAUUCUCGGUGUAGCGGUGAAAUGCGUAGAUAUCGAGAGGAACACCUGCGGCGAAGGCGGGUUGCUGGGCUGAUACUGACGUGGAGACGCGAAAGCGUGGGGAGCAAACAGG